rnacentral:rRNA from 1 species
UAGGGAAUCUUCCACAAUGGACGAAAGUCUGAUGGAGCAACGCCGCGUGAGUGAUGAAGGGUUUCGGCUCGUAAAACUCUGUUGUUGGAGAAGAACGGGUGUCAGAGUAACUGUUGACAUCGUGACGGUAUCCAACCAGAAAGCCACGGCUAACUACGUGCCAGCAGCCGCGGUAAUACGUAGGUGGCAAGCGUUGUCCGGAUUUAUUGGGCGUAAAGCGAGCGCAGGCGGUUUUUUAGGUCUGAUGUGAAAGCCUUCGGCUUAACCGGAGAAGUGCAUCGGAAACCGGGAGACUUGAGUGCAGAAGAGGACAAUGGAACUCCAUGUGUAGCGGUGAAAUGCGUAGAUAUAUGGAAGAACACCAGUGGCGAAGGCGGCUGUCUGGUCUGCAACUGACGCUGAGGCUCGAAAGCAUGGGUAGCGAACAGGAUUAGAUACCCUUGGUA